AGUGAACGCUGGCGGUAGGCCUAACACAUGCAAGUCGAACGGCAGCACAGUAAGCGCUUGCUCUUACGGGUGGCGAGUGGCGGACGGGUGAGGAAUACAUCGGAAUCUACUUUUUCGUGGGGGAUAACGUAGGGCAACUUACGCUACUACCGCAUACGACCUACGGGUGAGAGCAGGGGAUCUUCGGACCUUGCGCGAUUGAUUGAGCUGAUGUCGGAUUAGCUAGUUGGCGGGGUAAAGGCCCACCAAGGCGACGAUCCGUAGCUGGUCUGAGAGGAUGAUCGGCCACACUGGAACUGAGACACGGUCCAGACUCCUACGGGAGGCAGCAGUAGGGAAUAUUAGGCAAUGGGCGCAAGCAUGAUGCAGCAAUGCCGCGUGAGUGAUGAAGGCCUUCGGAUUGUAAAGCUCUGUUAUUGGGGAAGAGAAAAAGUGGGAGAAACUCUCGAUGUUUUGACGGUACCUAAAGAAAAAGCAACGGCUAACUACGUG
rnacentral:rRNA from 1 species